GUAUAUAUAAUUUAAAUAAAAUAUUAAACUGUGACUUUAAUUAUGAGAGUUAAAACCUCC
rnacentral:tRNA from 1 species